CCAAGGAGUCUAACAUGUGUGCGAGUCAAUGGGUCUCGAACAAGCCCAAAGGCGCAAUGAAAGCAAAGGCCGGACACGACGCCGGCUGAGUUGGGAUCCCUUCGUCUUCGCACGAGGGGCGCACCAACGACCCGUCCUAUCCUAUUUAUAGGUUGGGCGGAGUCUGAGCAUACACGUUGGGACCCGAAAGAUGGUGAACUAUGCCCAGGCAGGACGAGGUCAGAGGAAACUCUGGUGGAGGUCCGUAGCGGUUCUGACGUGCAAAUCGAUCGUCAGAUCCGGGUAUAGGGGCGAAAGGCUAAUCGAACCAUC
rnacentral:rRNA from 1 species